UGGAACAGGGCGCCAUUGAGGGUGAGAGCCCCGUGCGGCACGCGCUUAAGCUUUAAGACCCUUCUGACGAGUCGAGUUGUUUGGGAAUGCAGCUCUAAGUGGGUGGUAAAUUCCAUCUAAGGCUAAAUACUGGCGAGAGACCGAUAGCGAACAAGUACUGUGAAGGAAAGAUGAAAAGCACUUUGAAAAGAGAGUGAAACAGCACGUGAAAUUGUUGAAAGGGAAGGGUAUUGGGCUCGACAUGGGGACUGCGCACCGUUGCUUCUUGUAGGCGGCGCUCUGUGCGGUUUCUGGGCCAGCAUCAGUUUUUGCCGCGGGAGAAUGGGGGGAGGAACGUGGCUCUUCGGAGUGUUAUAGCCUCUCUCAGAUGCCGCGAGCGGGGACUGAGGUCUGCGAUUCGUUCAAGGAUGCUGGCACAACGGCGCAAUACCGCC
rnacentral:rRNA from 1 species